GACGUACCGUGCGAACGUUAUUCGGAAUCAUUGGGCUUAAAGCGCGUGUAGGCGGAUUCGUGCGUCUGUCGUUGAAAUCCCCCGGCUCAACCGGGGAAGUGGCGCGGAUACGACGAGUCUGGAGGGGCAUAGGGGGACCUGGAACUUCCGGUGGAGCGGUGAAAUGCGUUGAGAUCGGAAGGAACGCCCGUGGCGAAAGCGAGGUCCUGGAUGCCUACUGACGCUGAGACGCGAAAGCCAGGGGAGCGAACGGG
rnacentral:rRNA from 1 species